rnacentral:rRNA from 1 species
GAUGAACGCUGGCGGCGUGCCUAAUACAUGCAAGUCGAGCGAACAGACGAGGAGCUUGCUCCUCUGACGUUAGCGGCGGACGGGUGAGUAACACGUGGAUAACCUACCUAUAAGACUGGUAUAACUUCGGGAAACCGGAGCUAAUACCGGAUAAUAUAUUGAACCGCAUGGUUCAAUAGUGAAAGACGGUUUUGCUGUCACUUAUAGAUGGAUCCGCGCCGCAUUAGCUAGUUGGUAAGUUAACGGCUUACCAAGGCAACGAUGCGUAGCCUAACUGAGAGAGUGGUCGGCCACACUGGAACUGAGACACGGUCCAGACUACUGCGGGAGGCAGCAGUAGGGAAUCUUCCGCAAUGGGCGAAAGCUUGACGGAGCAACGCCGCGUGAGUGAUGAAGGUCUUCGGAUCGUAAAACUCUGUUAUUAGGGAAGAACAAAUGUGUAAGUAACUAUGCACGUCUUGACGGUACCUAAUCAGAAAGCCACGGCUAACGACGUG